AGCAAUGGGAUGCGGAUCUCGAAAGCCUGUCUCAGUUCGGAUUGGAGGCUGAAACCCGCCUCCAUGAAGUUGGAUUCGCUAGUAAUCGCGCAUCAGCCAUGGCGCGGUGAAUACGUUCCCGGGCCUUGUACACACCGCCCGUCAAGCCAUGGGAGCCGGGGGUGCCUGAAGUUCGUGACCGCAAGGAGCGACCUAGGGCAAAACUGGUGACUGGGGCUAAGUCGUAACAAGGUAUC
rnacentral:rRNA from 1 species